rnacentral:rRNA from 1 species
CCUACGGGCGGCAGCAGUCGGGAAUAUUGCGCAAUGGAGGAAACUCUGACGCAGCGACGCCGCGUGCAGGAAGAAGGUUUUCGGAUUGUAAACUGCUUUAGACAGGGAAGCAAAAAGACAGUACCUGUAGAAUAAGCUCCGGCUAAAUACGUGCCAGCAGCCGCGGUAAUUCGUAGGGAGCAAGCGUUAGCCGGAUUUAUUGGGUGUAAAGGGUGCGUAGGCGGGGAAGCAAGUUAGUUGGGAAAUCCCUCGGCUUAACUGAGGAACUGCAACUGAAACUACUUCCCUUGAGUACUGGAGAGGAAAGUGGAAUUCCUGGUGUAGCGGUGAAAUGCGUAGAUAUUAGGCGGAACACCAGUGGCGAAGGCGGCUUUCUGGACAGAAACUGACGUUGAGGCACGAAAGUGUGGGGAGCGAACAGGAUUAGAUACCCCAGUAGUC